GGCCAGCAGCCGCGGUAAUACGUAGGUGGCGAGCGUUGUCCGGAAUUACUGGGUGUAAAGGGCGUGUAGGCGGGAAGAUAAGUCAGAUGUGAAAUUCCGGGGCUCAACCCCGGCGCUGCAUCUGAAACUAUUUUUCUUGAGUGCUGGAGAGGAAAGCGGAAUUCCUAGUGUAGCGGUGAAAUGCGUAGAUAUUAGGAGGAACACCAGUGGCGAAGGCGGCUUUCUGGACAGUAACUGACGCUGAGGCGCGAAAGCGUGGGGAGCAAACAGGAUUAGAUACCCUGGUAGUCCACGCUGUAAACGAUGGAUACUAGGUGUAGGAGGUAUCGACCCCUUCUGUGCCGGAGUUAACACAAUAAGUAUCCCACCUGGGGAGUACGGCCGCAAGGUUGAAACUUAAAGGAAUUGGCGGGGGAC
rnacentral:rRNA from 1 species